rnacentral:rRNA from 1 species
GAUGAACGCUGGCGGCGUGCCUAAUACAUGCAAGUCGAGCGAACAGACGAGGAGCUUGCUCCUCUGACGUUAGCGGCGGACGGCUGAGUAACACGUGGAUAACCUACCUAUAAGACCGGGAUAACUUCGGGAAACCGGAGCUAAUACCGGAUAAUAUAUUGAACCGCAUGGUUCAAUAGUGAAAGACGGUUUUGCUGUCACUUAUAGAUGGAUCCGCGCCGCAUUAGCUAGUUGGUAAGGUAACGGCUUACCAAGGCAACGAUGCGUAGCCGACCUGAGAGGGUGAUCGGCCACACUGGAACUGAGACACGGUCCAGACUCCUACGGGAGGCAGCAGUAGGGAAUCUUCCGCAAUGGGCGAAAGCCUGACGGAGCAACGCCGCGUGAGUGAUGAAGGUCUUCGGAUCGUAAAACUCUGUUAUUAGGGAAGAACAAAUGUGUAAGUAACUAUGCACGUCUUGACGGUACCUAAUCAGAAGGCCACGGCUAACUACGUG